rnacentral:rRNA from 1 species
AGCGAACGCUGGCGGCAGGCCUAACACAUGCAAGUCGAACGAACUCUUCGGAGUUAGUGGCGGACGGGUGUGUAACACGUGGUAACGUUCCUUUAUGUUCGGAAUAACUCAGGGAAACUUGUGCUAAUACCGAAUGUGCCCUUCUGGGGAAAGAUUUAUCGCCUUUAGAGCGGCCCGCGUCUGAUUAGCUAGUUGGUGAGGUAAAGGCUCACCAAGGCGACGAUCAGUAGCUGGUCUGAGAGGAUGAUCAGCCACAUUGGGACUGAGACACGGCCCAAACUCCUACGGGAGGCAGCAGUGGGGAAUCUUGCGCAAUGGGCGAAAGCCUGACGCAGCCAUGCCGCGUGAAUGAUGAAGGUCUUAGGAUUGUAAAAUUCUUUCACCGGGGACGAUAAUGACGGUACCCGGAGAAGAAGCCCCGGCUAACUUCGUG